rnacentral:rRNA from 1 species
UUCGCAAUGCCCGAAAGGGUGACGAAGCGACGCCGCGUGUGGGAAGAAGGCUUUCGGGUUGUAAACCACUGUCGGGAGUUAAGAAAUGCAAGGAUAUUAAUAGUGUCUUUGUUUGACUAAGGCUCCGGAGGAAGCCACGGCUAACUCUGUGCCAGCAGCCGCGGUAAUACAGAGGCGGCAAGCGUUGUUCGGAAUUAUUGGGCGUAAAGAGCACGUAGGCGGCUAUGUAAGUCGGUUGUGAAAGCCUUCCGCUCAACGGAAGAACAGCAUCCGAUACUACAUGGCUUGAGUGCGGGAGGGGAGAGUGGAACUUCUGGUGGAGCGGUGAAAUGCGUAGAUAUCAGAAGGAACGCCGGCGGCGAAAGCGGCUCUCUGGCCCAUAACUGACGCUGAGUGUGCGAAAGCUAGGGGAGCAAACGGGAUUAGAUACCCCGGUAGUCCUAGCCGUAAACGAUGGGCACUAAGUAGAGGGGUUUU